CUGAAGACCAGUUGGAUUGUCUUCAGACACCAUGACAAUCUUCCAAGAACACAUUGUAUCUAGGAAUGGGAUUCCUGUGGUUUACCAGUGAAUCUGAAAUAGCCAAGCAUAAGCUCAUGUAGAGAAAAGUCUGUUCAUAGCAACCUAGUGUUAUCAACACUCCUAAAAUGAGCAUAAAGAAUAACUGCAGAAAUGAGGGCAAAGCACAGUUGCCCCUCUUGUGCCUUUUAAGUCAGCUCCAGUGACUGUGGGCUGCUGAAGAUGCUACAUCCUGACAAGGAGGUCAAGGAAUGCAGUCUGAGCAUCAUCCCCUACAUCAGAAACUCUAAAAAUUUUUUGAUAGGAGUUUUCCUAAUGCCUAAUUCUUGGACAGGACUGUGAGCGACUGCAGAAACUCAAGAGCUUGACACUAAAGGUGUGAGGAGCACUGUCUUAAAGACUUUGCAAUAGCAUGAGAUGUCCUGUCCAUAUCUAGAAGUCCAGUUCUGGUCUGUUCACUUGCCAGAUCAGCAGACUUCACAAGCUUCAACUCAGAAACGUAAAAAGUAAAAUAUUCUGAAGCAGCAGGGAAUUUGAUAAAAGAAGGGGUGGAGACUGCAGGGCAGAAUCCCAAGUUUUAGUUAAAUCUGAAAGCAGAUUAAAGUAACAAGAAAAGGUUUGAUAACUCCAUUAUGAAUGCAUUAGCUGUAAAUAUGAAAUGCAGCCUGCUUAUAAGGAACUGUUGAUAAUGUCCAUCAACACUGGAAUGAACAAGUACUUGUAUUGAUAGGAGUCCUGGCAACACUCCAUAGUGCCCCUGUCCACAGUGCCCUCUCCAAUGCACUUGCAGGGAAGACUUGCAGAAUGUCAUUCUUGUCCACAGCCAAUGCUACAAGUUAUUUUUGCUGGUAGGGAUUUUAAGUUUCAUGUAGAUGCCAAGGUAACCUUGGCAUAUGUUAAGGAGCUCUGGCUGUGAUGGUUCGUCUGUGGGUGACAGCCUGCUCCUGAGGAGAGACUGUCCAUCACUGUAUCAGCCACAUAUGGAGAUGAGUGUCUGUGAAGAGCUCAUGCAGCUUCAGCAGAACUCAGCAGUCUGGACAAUUCUCAGCAUCUUGGCAAUGGAAUACAGUCAUCUCUUCAAAUAAAUGAAGUCCUACAAGAAGGAGGCCUGCUGUAUGCAAGAUAGUGAGACCAUGGAUUUGAAGAGUUGCUGAGAGUCUGAAAAGAGAUUGGUUCUCUGCUGAGACUGUGGUGGUAUUUGUUUGGUGAGUCCCCAUUGUGCAAGGACUUAUGUAAACUAUAAAACUUGCCCUCAGACUGUGAGCUCUGUCAACUACUGGACCAGAAACAGUUUACCUGUGGUUGUUUCACUUCACAAAUAUACUGCCUUUUAAUAUAUUCUGCUAUCAUAUGUGGGCUACAUAGUUUUCCAGUAAAAACCUGGCCACUGGGAUUUUUUUCUAGUGCUACACAAAAAAUUUUGCUCAUUGAUUGUUCCAGAUUAAAAACCUGCUGUGCAGUGUAUGCUUUCAAAAAAUACACCCAGGCAUCACAAUGAAGGCAAGAUUGUCUUUAUUUGCAGAAGAAAUGAGAGUUCCUUAUUCACUCUCCAGCUUCCAAACAUUGUUGCAGGUUGAAGUGUCAGGGUGGAUGGAACAAAAAGGACCUCAGGAAUAUCAUGACUGUAAUCAGUGUCAUGUCCCUGGUCUUCUGCCUGUUCUUGUUCACCAGCAUGUGAAUGUACUGAUCACCAUCCUCAUAAUCUUUGGCCACUUGGGGAGAUUGGACUCUGGUGAAAGAUUCCACGCAAGAUGAGGGUUUGAUACCAUGUGAACUCUCCCCAGACAAGGUUUCAUGACCAGCUGCGUACAGAGGAAUGAUGUGUUAAGGUCAGUGAAAUCACAAGAAUGGAAAACAACCAGUG